AAUUGGGAAUUAUCAUGAAAAUAGACGAAACCAUGGAACUUGCAACACCAGCACAGACAGCAGUUACCCAGAAAAGCAGGGCAAUAUACAAUUUGAUCACCUCCCGAAACAUAGACGAGUGAAUGAAAUGGAAGUGUUUGUGUGGAUGGAUCACCAUCAACUGUCAACGGACAGCUUGCAGAACUUUAGUUUAUUUGUGACAUGCCCAAAUAACCCGGGAACGACUUGAGGACUCUGAAGAUGACAGGAUCUCUUUCUCUAUUUCAAAAAGGAAACGCACAACCACCUCUUCACCCCUAUCAAUGCCUCCUUCUGAAACCUCCACAUGCAGAACCAAAACCAAUCUUGCAGCCUUCACACCAUCAAACCACACAGCAUCGUCGCCAGGCUGCUCAAGUCAAGAUCUGUGCAUAAGUUUGCAGUCUGGUUGUUCUCAUCAUUGGAGAGGAUGCAGUAACUGUAGUGUCUGUGCCAGUAACUGACGCGGAGAGAACAGCAUGUGAUUGCAGUGCACAGCAACCAACCUGCACAUUCAUUUACGUUCAAGGAAGUAAACUUAGCCCGAAACAUCUGUGUGUUGCUGUGUUUAAAGUCACAUCUCUGUGACAACCACACUGAAAUGCAAGAGCAAGUGUACUAUGGUGCAAUGCGUUAAAGUUCCUCUGAAAUCAAAAUGGAACGGGUUUUUAUGGAUCUUAAAUGGAUAGUUCACCUAAAAAUGAAAAUGAUGGGAUAAUUUAACUCUCCCUUCACUUGUUCCAAACCUCUUUGAGUUUCUUUUCCCCUGUUGAAUACAAAAGAAGAUAUUAGAAUGUUGGAAACCGACUUCCAUAGUAUUUUAUUCCUACUAUGAAUGUCAA